rnacentral:rRNA from 1 species
AUUGAACGCUGGCGGCAUGCCUUACACAUGCAAGUCGAACGGUAACGCGGGGCAACCUGGCGACGAGUGGCGAACGGGUGAGUAAUGCAUCGGAACGUGCCCAGUAGUGGGGGAUAGCCCGGCGAAAGCCGGAUUAAUACCGCAUACGACCUACGGGUGAAAGGGGGGGAUCGCAAGACCUCUCGCUAUUGGAGCGGCCGAUGUCAGAUUAGCUAGUUGGUGGGGUAAAAGCCUACCAAGGCGACGAUCUGUAGCUGGUCUGAGAGGACGACCGGCCACACUGGGACUGAGACACGGCCCAGACUCCUACGGGAGGCAGCAGUGGGGAAUUUUGGACAAUGGGCGAAAGCCUGAUCCAGCCAUGCCGCGUGCGGGAAGAAGGCCUUCGGGUUGUAAACCGCUUUUGUCAGGGAAGAAAUCUUCUGAGUUAAUACCUCGGGAGGAUGACGGUACCUGAAGAAUAAGCACCGGCUAACUACGUGCCAGCCGCCGCAGUAA